GCCAGCAGCUAUGUCAACGUGCCACGCACAACUGUCAGCCCACUGUCACUCAGCAGGUGUGAGCCUGGUCAGUACCUGUAUGGGAGACCUCCUGGGAAAAACCAAGGUUGCUGCUGGAA
rnacentral:rRNA from 1 species